GCCCAAGAGAUCGGGAUAACACCUGGAAACAGAUGCUAAUACCGGAUAACAACAGAUGAUGCCUAUCAACUGUUUAAAAGAUGGUUCUGCUAUCACUCUUGGAUGGACCUGCGGUGCAUUAGCUAGUUGGUAGGGUAACGGCCUACCAAGGCGAUGAUGCAUAGCCGAGUUGAGAGACUGAUCGGCCACAUUGGGACUGAGACACGGCCCCAAACUCCUACGGGAGGCAGCAGCU
rnacentral:rRNA from 1 species